UACGUAGGGGGCUAGCGUUGUUCGGAAUCACUGGGCGUAAAGCGCACGUAGGCGGAUCGUUAAGUCGGGGGUGAAAUCCCAGGGCUCAACCCUGGAACUGCCUUCGAUACUGGCGAUCUUCGAGUCCGGGAGAGGUGAGUGGAACUCCGAGUGUAGAGGUGAAAUUCGUAGAUAUUCGGAAGAACACCAGUGGCGAAGGCGGCUCACCGUGGCCCGGUACUGACGCUGAGGUGCGAAAGCGUGGGGAGCAAACAGG
rnacentral:rRNA from 1 species